GCUGCAGGCCAUGCCUUUUAGUCGCAGAGGCUCAGUAUGGGGUCAGUGGCUGGGAAAUACUAGUUGUGACAUUCCCAAGCUCUGCUGGUCUAAGUUCUUUCUGCCCUUUGUCAGCCCUUCCGGCCCCUCCACCCCCACCCUCAGGCAAGCUUGCAGCCGGGGCAGGUCUCUUGUGGGCUUUGUUGUGAUGGAGGAAGAGGCAGACCCGAGGUCGGAUGUUCUGUUUUUAGGGUGGCUGGUCAGGACUGCGGUUCUGUCCGGGAACAGGAGAGCUGCAAUUUAGGUAAGAACAGGGAGGACCCGUUGUGGAAAGUGAAGAAGCAAGGUGCCUGUCUGUUGUUGGCAGAAGUAUUUGUGGUGCUCAGCAGUAAAUUUAGUUUGUUUUCUGUCUGAAUUGUCAGGUUGGGGAUCAUCUACAUAUAGAGGUCUGAAUUAGCCCAGUUUCAAGAUCUUAUGUUAAACUAAUUGCACAUGUUAAAAUGGCAGUACUGGAAAAUCUAGUACAAAUUGCCUUAAUUUUUAAGAACUCUGGAGGUAGGAAUGGAAUGGGACCAGACACUUCUCUAACACUCAACUAUAAAGUACUGGAUAUUUGGUUAGUUUUGAACGUUGUAACAAGAACACGGGUUCACAUUUGUACCCUUCUCAUUUAUAUACAGGCUAUUUCAUACCACGUGGAACUAACACGUCACAUGGGGUAAUUCAUACCAUGUGGAUCUAACGUGUGUCACACGGGGUAGUUCAUGCUAUUUGGAUCUAACACAUGUCACACGGGAUAGUUCAUGCCAUGUGGAUCUAACACGUUUCUAGAGAUGCUGUUUGCCAUAAAUGACAUGUCGCCUUUUGUUAUAAAACAGCAUGAGUUUUUCAUCGUCUUAUUGUUUGUCUACAUCAGAAGUGCUCACUAUUUAUUUGAGUGACUUAGCUCAGGGAAUUUCCGCCCUGUACUGAAUGAGAAUCUGAAAUUUGGACCUUUAAUUUGUUAACAGAGCUCAGAAUUGGCACUCAAAGCCUAGCUCAAUGCUAUUCUUACAAGCUAAGUGCCCUCCUGGUUUUGUAAUUUCACAAUUUCUUCUUUAAAGUCUUACUUUUUUUUUUUUUCUUAUACAAGAGCGAUAUGCUUUUGAAAAACAUCCAGGCAGCUUAGGCAUAUGUAACAUGGAAAUGUGGUUUUCUUGUAUCGGAUUUCCAGAAGUAAUACUGAUUACUGCACCGUUUCAGAGUCUGCCAGAUGAUCACUUAAAGAAGGAGAAUGCUUCUUUGGUUUUAGAGUUGGAAAUGAGAGGUUCUCGUUCCUCAGACACCCCAAACCCAUUGAGGUUGGUGUGGGACAAGGUUACUCUUCAACGCCAUUUCUACUUCUGCCUACACCAAGUAGGGAAGGGACGGGAGAGCCCACCCAGACCUGCUCUUGUGCAUGCCUAGACUGCAGUGUGGGUGGGUGGCUGGCUCCUGGGAAACGUGGAGAGUAAAUUGUGUGUGCAGUUGGGAAUUUGGAUGUCAACACAACACUGAAGCCUAGAUAGAGCCAGGAACUUCAGUUGUGAGGUGUAGAGGAAUGUUGUAUCUGAUUUUGAGGACAGUCCAUCGCUUGCAUGCUUCAGGAAGACAGACAGUUUUGACAAUAAUGUGUCAGUUUUUAAUCUGUCCACACUUUCAUAAAACCCAAGGUAACUGGGCCGAUACACAGUUGUCUGUUAUCUGCCAGUCUUAGUUAUUUCAGGUUGCAGGUUCUAUAUUGUUCUUGCAAUAUUUGUGUAAUAUUAUAAGUAUUUAUAAUCAUUUAACUCAAGUAUUCUGGUUGAAGCUACAUCUGUAGUUAGAUUUGAAGGACAUGACGACAUCAGAAAAGACCUAUGUUGGAAGCAGUUUGAUGGGCGGGCACCCUGGAGCAGAGGCCUGACUUGAGGUCUGGCUCUGCCACUUUUUGUCUAUGAGACCUGGAAAAAGUCCAAAACCACUAUGAAUACUUUAGACCCUUUAUGUUUUAGUUCAUUUAGGUCUUAGAGAGUCUUGUGUGCUGUAACAUUUUCAUUUUACAUAUGACAAAACAUUCUUAGGGAGGCCCAGUGUCUGUUCCAUGCUCACUCUGUGAGUAUAAAAUGGAGCUGGGAUUUAUAUCCAGGAAAUUCAAUGCUGGAGGUCAAGGUCAUUUGCAAAUGAUGGCUCUGUUGACCUUACAUGAAUAUCAAUGACUUCAGUAAUAUGGAAGCCUGUUUAGUUUCCUAAGUAGUUAUAUAGGAAAUAGAAAUUUGUGUAGGCUUUGAAAGGAAGCAGUUUCCAAGUGACCUAGCGGAAUCGUGGGUUUGAUAAUCAGUGUUCUUGCCAUAUAUUGACAGAGCACUCAGUGGUGCAGUGACAUGAACUUAACAGAUAUGGGAUAGGUACACCAGGUUCUCAAGUCACAGGUUAUCAUGCCAUGGUCCCUAUACGUCAAAGCAGGGAGACAUAAGAAGAUAACUGAGUUCUCCCCUCCCCCGCCCCCAAGCAAAACAAAAC
ensembl:sense_intronic Gm28323 predicted gene 28323